rnacentral:misc_RNA from 1 species
GUGAAUCAUCGAAUUUUUGAACGCAAAUUGCACUCCCCGGUUUUCCGGGAAGGUAUGCCUGUUUGAGAUCCAGCCUAAAAAAAAUCCACAUUGUUGCUGUUUUAUGGUGACUUUCGUCGGAGAUUGGUUAUCUUAAAUCUUUUGGUUUUAAGCGACUUAAAAUUUUCUUUUUGCUUCCAUGAACGUGUCUAAGAUUUAU